ACAAAGCACUUCUGCAGAAGGAAGGAAAUAAUAAAGAUUAGAGCAGACUAAAUGAUACAGGAACUAAAAAAGCAAUAGAGCAGUAACACCAGAAGCUGGGUCUUUGAGGAAAAAAAUUC